CCUACGGGAGGCAGCAGUCGAGAAUCAUUCACAAUGGGGGAAACCCUGAUGGUGCGACGCCGCGUGGGGGAAUGAAGGUCUUCGGAUUGUAAACCCCUGUCAUGUGGGAGCAAAUUAAAAAGAUAGUACCACAAGAGGAAGAGACGGCUAACUCUGUGCCAGCAGCCGCGGUAAUACAGAGGUCUCAAGCGUUGUUCGGAAUCACUGGGCGUAAAGCGUGCGUAGGCUGUUUCGUAAGUCGUGUGUGAAAGGCGCGGGCUCAACCCGCGGACGGCACAUGAUACUGCGAGACUAGAGUACUGGAGGGGGAGCCGGAAUUCUCGGUGUAGCAGUGAAAUGCGUAGAUAUCGCGAGGAACACUCGUGGCGAAGGCGGGUUCCUGGACAUUAACUGACGCUGAGGCACGAAGGCCAGGGGAGCGAAAGGGAUUAGAUACCCGGGUAGUC
rnacentral:rRNA from 1 species